AUGCACGGGAUGCAAGAACUGAUACAUCAACUCAUAAGAUGCCGCCACUUGUGGAGCUGUGAAGUGAUAAGUGCUGUCACUCCUUCAGGAGGUCUGCGCAAUUACCCCUGAGUGCUCUGGUGUCCAUCCACAGGCCAAGCACACGCGGGUCAGAUAAACUGGAAACGGUGGGUGUGAUUGCUUUGUCUAUGUGUCAAACAUGUUGGACCGCCAGAGUAAGCACUGCCUCGACCUCUGCACAGGGUAAGUGGGUACAAAUGACGGGAAGAUUGAACCACUCUAAAGUUUGACAACAACAACCGCCAUGCCAAAAAACUGGGGUCAAGAUGUUCUUUCUCCAAACAUGCUGUUUGUUCACCAAACUUUUUUUUUCCACAUGUAUUUUUUUUAUUCUUCCAGAAAAACUGAACGGAUCAACAUGCCUAUAAUUCUUAUACUAUAUCCAGACAGAAAUAUAAAUACAUCAUUGGAUGGUAAGCCUGCAUUUUCCAAUAUUUAUUAAUUAAAGGAAGACUAAUCAAACUGACUGAGGAAAUUUCCACAUUAAGUCUGUAACUGUCAGCAAUUUUAUCAGCUGACAAGUUGACUGAAAAAUUGUUUUGAUCUUUGAUCAACUUAUCAGACUGUACAAGUGUAGUUGUGGUGACAAUAAUGGUUUCUGAUGAGGAGUUACAGAGCCCAAUGAUGGUGGUCACCAUAAAGAAAAAAACGUCUAAUUUUCUUAGCAAACUAAAAACAGGGAGAAAAGUUUGAGCAACAGUAUUAGAGGCUAACAAAACACUUAGAUACAACACGCACCUGUUGGUCAAAUCACCAUGCCCCUGACUAUGGAAAUUUAUCUAUAACUCUAUCUGCUGUAUAUUCAAUAUGAAAAAGUUCAAUCUACAUGCAGUGUGUGAUGCAAUAACGAUCCAAAAUUACAUGCUUUUUGUCAUCUUUCAGUGCACCGAUGUUAAGCUGCAGCUGCAUCUUCCUACUCCUGCUGCCACCAUGAUGGAAAACAACCACAUCACUGCACUUUUGCAUGGCACAUCUCACUUUAAAAACUCUCAUACGGCUCAGGUGACAAGUCAGACGUAAAAUGCACUUUGUGUCAUGGAAUAAAAAUAUCACCUGAGUACUUUGGGUUUGAGCUUCAGGCUACAAGCUAAGCAUACAAGUGCGGCUAAUUACGCUGAUGUCAGCAGGAAACCACAUCUCAAAUGCUGGAAAAGAACCAAACAUCACAUCUGACCUGUGGAUGAAAUGUGGAAAUCGUAG